GGGAAUCUUGCACAAUGGGCGAAAGCCUGAUGCAGCAACGCCGCGUGGGUGAAGAAGGUUCUCGGAUUGUAAAGCCCUUUCGGCUGGGAAGAAGGGUGCUGUGGUGAAUAUCCACGGCAUUUGACGGUACCAGAAGAAGAAGCACCGGCUAAUUUCGUGCCAGCAGCCGCGGUAAUACGAAAGGUGCAAGCGUUGUUCGGAAUGACUGGGCGUAAAGCGCACGUAGGCGGGUUUGCAAGUAGGAUGUGAAAGCCCCAGGCUUAACCUGGGAAUGGCAUCUUAAACUACAAAUCUUGAAUGCUUGAGAGGUUGGUGGAAUGCCUGGUGUAGGAGUGAAAUCCGUAGAUAUCAGGUGGAAUAUCGGAGGCGAAGGCGGCCAACUGGUGAUGCAUUGACGCUAAGGUGCGAAAGCGUGGGGAGCAAACA
rnacentral:rRNA from 1 species